CCAAUUCGGAGAGGCUAUGACGAUAAAGGCAGCCAUUUUUUGAGUAUUUUAAAUUUAGCCGGAUUAUUAUCCUUUCAGGGAUACCAUAAUACAAAAGGGUAAAAGUUCCCGAUUUAAAGGGUAAUUUAAAUUUGACUAAGAAAUCGUUUAAUAAUUUAAUUUGAUAAUAAUAAUAAGCCUUUUAUUUCCGCAAAUAUGUUCAUUUUACAUGUAACACUUUCUGAAUUUAUAACAUAGAAAACUUAUUGGAAUUUUAUUUGAUAGAUAGAACUUAAUUGGUUUGGAGUGAUAGUUAGGUAUUAUUUAAAUUAAUUAUGACUCUUGUUAUUUUUUAUAGAUUCCCAAAGGACAAGACUUCACGAAGUCUUUGGAUUGCAGUGACUGGACGGCAAAAUUGUCAGCCCACUCAGCACACUCGCAUGUGUUCUGUCCAUUUUCAAGCUGGUUGCUUUCAGAAAAAGCAGCAGAAAAUGUAUUUGGCAAAUUAUUCAAUACCAACAUUAGCCGUUCAUGAUGUACCAGUUCAUUGUGACAAAGCUUCAUCUAGCGAAACUACCGAAGUUUUACCCAUGGAAUGCGAUAUUCAAGCAUCAAAUAAUCUAGCAGACACGAUGACACCAAGAAAGUUAAAGCUGACAAUGAAUUUACAAAGAAGAACGUUAAUAGCUGAAAACCGCAAUAAAAAAAUAGCCGCAUUGAGAUCAAAGACUCGAAGACUUGUAAAAAAAAUUCACAAUUGACUGAUAUUAUAGAAAAUUUAAAAACAAAGCGAUUCAUCAACCAGGAAGCAGCGGAUUUACUUUCUGUGCUUAAUAAUGGCUCGGACUUCAUUAAGCCAAACAAAAGUAAAUUUUCACCCGAAGUGCGAAAAUUUGCUUUAAAUCUUCAUUUCAUCAGUCCACGCGCCUAUAAUUAUGUGCGCCAGCAUUUUAAAACUUGCCUGCCCCAUACACGUACAUUAGUACGUUGGUAUUCAACUGUAGAUGGUGAACCAGGAUUUCCAUCUGAAGCUCUUCAAGCUAUAGAAAAAAUUGCAAAAAAUAAUAUUUCGAAAAAACUGUUAUGCAGUUUGUGCUUUGAUGAAAUGGCAAUAAGAAAAUGUGUAGAGUGGCUGGUAGGGCAAAAAAAAAAAUGAGACAUGUAUACGUAUAGGCUCCUUAGAGCAUUAAUUGACAAUUUGUAAGUACUAAUUUAAUUAGUGUAUGUAUACAAAUAGAGAUAAUUUUGAUUUAAUUUAUCCUCUAAACAGAACAUUCUGCCAAUAAUAAUCUUUUGAAUCUGCGUGUAAUAAAUAUUUUUAUUUUUAAA